rnacentral:rRNA from 1 species
GAUGAACGCUGGCGGCGCGCCUAACACAUGCAAGUCGAACGGCACCCACCCUCGGGUGGAAGCGAGUGGCGAACGGCUGAGUAACACGUGGAGAACCUGCCCCCUCCCCCGGGAUAGCCGCCCGAAAGGACGGGUAAUACCGGAUACCCCGGGGUGCCGCAUGGCACCCCGGCUAAAGCCCCGACGGGAGGGGAUGGCUCCGCGGCCCAUCAGGUAGACGGCGGGGUGACGGCCCACCGUGCCGACAACGGGUAGCCGGGUUGAGAGACCGACCGGCCAGAUUGGGACUGAGACACGGCCCAGACUCCUACGGGAGGCAGCAGUGGGGAAUCUUGCGCAAUGGGGGGAACCCUGACGCAGCGGCGCCGCGUGCGGGACGGAGGCCUUCGGGUCGUAAACCGCUUUCAGCAGGGAAGAGUCAAGACUGUACCUGCAGAAGAAGCCCCGGCUAACUACGUGCCAGCCGCCGCCGUAA